CAGCCGUAAACUAUGCGCGUUAGGUGUAUCGGUGACCACGAGUUACCGAGGUGCCGAAGGGAAACCGUGAAACGUGCCGCCUGGGAAGUACGGUCGCAAGGCUGACACUUAAAGGAAUUGGCGGGGGAGCACCACAACGGGUGGAGCCUGCGGUUUAAUUGGACUCAACGCCGGAAAUCUCACCGGAUAGGACAGACAUAUGAUAGUCGGGCUGAAGACUCUACUUGAUGAUCUGAGAGGUGGUGCAUGGCGUCAGUGACU
rnacentral:rRNA from 1 species